GAACAAUCCAUCGAAGCUUAUCUUAUCUAAUCGAUCAGUUGUCUAUCUCCCCCGAUACAAAACGAUCAGCAAUUAGUCGGCUUUUCAUCGAAGCUAUUAAUUCGCGCCGGUGGCACGAUCGUUUCCCGCAGUUAACGCGCGCAACCGGACGACGUUCUGCUCGUCCGUCACAGUCUGAUUCGUCCGGUUGAAACUCUGCCCGCGAAAAGCGAAAAGUAAAAAACGACGAAAGGGGAAUGGAGCGAGAAGCGGUGCUGCGGCAGGAAGCACGCCGCGUUACUGCACGCUGCUCGUUGCGUGCAUAAUUGCAGGCCCGAAAACCUCGAAAAACCGCGCCGGGUCGUUCACCCUUGCACACGGACUUUCUCCUCUUCAGAAAGAGAAGGAGCGAAGGGUGCGAGAGGCGACUGUACCGGGAGCCAGUAAAAAGAGCGCGGUCGUGUUCGAAGCCGGUUGUUUUGUCUGUGGGAGGUUAACCUGGCCCGUCUAGUUCUGCAACUCGUGCUGCAAGAAAUGCUCGGAGCCGAGGCAGCUCGGGAUCGAGGUCACGGGCUCUUGGUUACGUAACACGAACAGCAGGAGUAAGCAUGGGUGCCGCGAGCCGAUUCGAUGACGCACAGGUUUGUUAUCGGGAUUGUCAUCAAAGGGCCGUUGUCGAGAAUUUCGAUUUCGUGGCACGUCAAGAGAAGAGAGAAUCGCGUGCUAACGGCAGCCAUCAGCGGGGAAAAUGGAAAAAGGCGCAACCCAAUUUCGUCGCUGAGGAAAGCACUUCGAUUGCCACAUACUGGCACCCGUCACGAGCACUUCCAUCGAAGGGUGAAGUUGCAGGGGUAGUCUCGUGGAAUGGCGACAGCCUCGAUGAAAGCGUGGAAAAUCCCAUAAAAUAUUCGGUGAGGCCUCUGCAGAUCCUGGCUGAGAAGAACUCGUAAAGCUUUUUUCAUGGAAUUGAGGAAAAAUUGAAAAUAGAAAAGAAUCUACAUUGUUUCCAAAUUUCUCGACGCAGUACAGGACAUUCCCCAUCGUCGGUGGACGGAAAUCGAUUUCCGAAAGGUUCCGAUAAUUAACUCUCUUCUUCGCUGCAGGGACUGGGUCCGGUGAAUCGAAUGGAAAAAAAGAAAUACAUCGCUCGUUAUUCCAGUUCUCGAGGUAAAACAGGCCAUAGUCGGUGUAUUUGCACGUGAACGGAAAAGGUUCCGUUCUGGCUGUUUCCAUCCGUCGUCCACUUGGCGGAGCGUAACGACCAACCGAGCCAAGCUAACCAACCAGCCAGCCAGACGAUAGACUGGGAACCGUCUGGUAGACCUUGAACGGCCCUUUAACUGGUUGCACUGCAGUCAAGGUUACCUUCUUCCUCUUUCCACGCUGCUGUUCAGCCCGCGGGAGGAGGUACCGGAUGAAUAGGGUCGUGAGUUAGCCACUUUGUCAAGGUCGUAGUCGGUCUGCUUACCAAGAGGAAUAUACUGGGUAAACAACUGAAAAUAGUAGACCUUUUAAUUCUAUACGUUAUCGGCAAUGAGUUUAUUCAAUAAGUUAAGAAGAUAAAUACAGUAAAUUAAAUGAAUGCAGAAAAU